rnacentral:rRNA from 1 species
UGAGGAAUAUUGGACAAUGGGUGAGAGCCUGAUCCAGCCAUCCCGCGUGAAGGACGACGGCCCUAUGGGUUGUAAACUUCUUUUGUAUAGGGAUAAACCUUUCCACGUGUGGAAAGCUGAAGGUACUAUACGAAUAAGCACCGGCUAACUCCGUGCCAGCAGCCGCGGUAAUACGGAGGGUGCAAGCGUUAUCCGGAUUUAUUGGGUUUAAAGGGUCCGUAGGCGGAUCUGUAAGUCAGUGGUGAAAUCUCAUAGCUUAACUAUGAAACUGCCAUUGAGACUGCAGGUCUUGAGUAAAGUAGAAGUGGCUGGAAUAAGUAGUGUAGCGGUGAAAUGCAUAGAUAUUACUUAGAACACCAAUUGCGAAGGCAGGUAACUAUGUUUUAACUGACGCUGAUGGACGAAAGCGUGGGGAGCGAACAGG